AAUACGAGUUAAAACUUUAAGAGGUUCACAGUGAAUUAUCCAGUGUAGAUUUUUCUUGUUAUAUUCAGGUUUAAAUGUGCAGCUCAACAUUGCUCUGCCACAGUCAAUGGACUAAACCACAGAAGAAGAAAAUAGACUUUAGCAUUCAGAUACUCGGUGUGGA